rnacentral:lncRNA from 1 species
GUACCUUCGAAGGUAAUACCCUCGAAGGUAAUAAAUCAGAUACACGAGUGAUACACGUGUACAUGUUUGGCCUACUACCUUCCUUCAUAAAAAACGUGUACGAAGGUACACUACACGCAACACUAGAUGGAGUGUUGCAUCCGUCCUGUCGUCGCGCGACCCUCCCUCCCGCGCGGCCGGGUACUGUAGCGACAGUACCUUCGAAGGUACACGUACAGUACCUUCGUAUCUGAUUCAGGUCUUUUCGUACUUCCGGAAGUGUGUACACGUACAGUAUGAUACUGUAAUACUGUCCAAUACUAUCAACUUUCGGAUUUCGUCGAGUACGAUACGUCACUUCCUGACUAAAAGCGCUGCCAGAUUUUAAGUGUUACCCGAGUACGUCCCAUCGAAAAUCCGGACUGAAUGCGCUGUGCGGUCGUUUUCGUACAAAAAUACUUGUAUAUACAACUUACCGUGUACACGUACAGUCUAUCCGGACUUGCCCUGCCCUGCUAGGUUUAUAUUUGGCCGAAAGGGCGCCGUAGUGAAGCGCGGGGAGGAGGUAGUCAAGAUAGAUGUGACAAAGUAUUUAUCGUUCUCGUCGUCGUCGUCGUACGAUAACCUUAUGGUGAAGCGCCAUUUCUGUUCUAGCCGCGCGGCGAAUCCCCGCGACUCGGACCGUUUUUCGCGCUUUCGUCCGCGGCGCGGAUCACCGCCGACCAAAACAUGAUUUCCUUCUUCUUCCACGAUGGCUCCGUAGGCGAGGGCGCGGGUGGCGGAGGCAUCGUGCUCGCGGCGGCGAGAGCUCGGCUUUCCGUGGUCGAUCCGCCCACGCACUUCUCGCGCGUUCACCUUGCCGCCUCGUCGUUCGUGGCAGCAGCGGGCGCGCGUCCGAGGUGUGACCGCUCGCGAAACGAUGCCACGUAAGCAAACAUUUGUAAGAUAAGAUAUUCGUAAGCGUAAGACUGCACAUACGUGUACGUGUACACGUAGGGCUACGUGUAGUGGACAACUGUAGUACUUUCGAACUUUCAUAUCGUUGCGCAUGUUUACGAACGUGCAGACGUGUACAACUACACAAUGGUACUCGUACUGUGCCGUACAGUAGCCUACACGUACAGUUGUUGAUAAUAUGAUACUGAAGCUCAGUCAUCAAUUGGCUACAGUGUAUCUGAUUUUUGGACUACAGUACGUGUACACGUACACGUACACGUACACGACUCGUCACGUACACCGCGAUACAGAUCUACCUUCGUACUAGUUGUACACACCGCAAAUGUGUUUGUAUUUAUCUUCGUACUCGUACAGCUGUACAUGUACACGUUGUUCACUGUAAUUGAUGAUACGAGUACUCGUACGUGUAUCAUAGUCAUAUCUCGAAGAGGAACCGACCCGUCUUGCGUCUCCCGCUCUGCGUGCCACCCGCCCGUGCACUUCCAUGGGCGCGAGCUCGAGUCGCGCGCGCGAGGACACGCCGAGCUCGAGAAGCGCCGCGACCGGCGCGGACGCGGACGCGGACGCGAACCCCACCCCCCCCGUGCGAGGCGUCCUCCGCGCCGAGGCCCGCGGACCGUCGGCGUCGAAUCCUCGCGGCGAGCUCGGUCGCGCGCGUCCUCCGCCCGCGCCUCCGCGGACGCUCCCGCUGUCGCUCCCGGCGCCGAUGCCUACGCACGACGCCCCCGCUCGAUGGCCCGCGCCGCUCAUCAUCCCCCCCGCGAUCGCCGCGGACGCGAACGCUCCGGACGCUCUCGUCUGUCCCAUCACGCAGUGCCUCAUGACCGAGCCCGCGCUCGUCACGAGCAGCGGUCGGACGUACGACCGCGGCGCGAUCUCGCGGUGGAUCGCCGAGCACGGCACGGACCCGCUCGAUCGCGCGCAUCGGCUGACACUCGCGCAGCUCGCACCGAACCUCGCGGUGCGAGCGUUCGUGGAGGACUUCGUGCGCUCGAAGAACGGCGGCGUUCCCGUGGAGACCGCGCCCGUCGAGGCGUCGCCGCAAGCGCCCGCGCCCGCGCCCGCGCCCGCGCCCGCGCCCGAGGCGUCGCCGCCCGCUCCCGCGCCGCCGCCGUGGAACGACGGCAUCGCGAACCUGAACCUGAACAUGAACGACGACGACGACGACGACGACGACGUCCUCGGCGGGACGCUCGUCGUUCGAGCGCUCUACGCCGAGCCGGGGACGACGCCCGAAGGAAAAUAUUUCGCGUUUUCGACGUCGCGCGUCGAGAGACUCGUGAACGCGUGCCGCGGACCGGACGACGCGUGCGGUUGGGCUCUUUCCUCGCGAACGACGGGAGAUAACGACGACGACGACGCGACGACCGCGCCGGCGACGGCGCCGCCGCUUCCCUGGACCGUGAAAGACGGCCGCGGCGCGGUCGCGCGCGUCAGGCGCGUGUCCUCGUCGCGCCGGUUCCCAUACGACCCCGUCCGCGCGGCGCGCGCCAUUCCUUGAGGACUUUGCCGUUCCCCGCGCGACCGCGUUCGAUGCUCGCGCGGCGCGCGACGUUUAUCGAGGACGUUCUUCGCUGCCCGCGCGCGUUUCGCUCCGCCCAAUCCUCGGCUUCGAUCCUGACGCGCCCGCCGCGACGCCUCGCGACUUCGACUGACGCGCCCCUGAACUCCGCCCCGGCGUCGCUUCGUACGGGCGAAUACCCUCCAGGAACGAGCGCACGCGCCGCGAAGACGGCGCGCUGUUGCUCCCCUCGAAUCGCGACGGCAUCGGCGUCGGGUGCGCGUUCCGUUCCGUUCCGUUCCGUUUCGUUCUGUUCCGUUUCGUUUCGUUUCGUUUAGCCCACUCCCCGCACGGUACGACGUCGUCGUUCCGCUCGAAAUUCCUCUCGACGCAUACUGUACGCCCCGCGCCCUAAAAACGAAACGCAACCAACGCGACUCGCUCACAGGUGCUGGAACCCGUGCGAGUACGCGAAGCCGGACGACUUUCGCGCCGGGGACGUCCUCGUCAUUCUAGGUGCGCCCCACACACUGGUCCUCAAGCGACCGCGUUCGCGUGGUGCACGCCGUUCCUUUAGGACUUCUCCCGCGCGCGUUUCUCUCUGCCCACACCUCGGUUUCGAGCCCGACACCCCGCGACGCCUUUCAACUCCGACCGACGUCGCUUCGUAUGGAACGACCCUCAGAUCUGACGAACCCGGCGUCGUUCGCGCCUCCUGCGCUCGGGCGCGCGCUGCGCUGCGCGGAGAGAACCGCGAUCACGGAGACGGGGUGGAACCGUCCCGGGUCGGACGUGCGUUUCGGUCGGUGCGGGCUCGUCGGCGCGUGGUGGAAAGCGCUCGAGAUUGAGUUCAACGUGUCGCUCGCGCCGGAUGCGCCGGACGCGCCGGACGCGGAAAGGCCUGUCCCCGUCGUCGUGACGGCCCUUCGAACGGACGCCCCGGACGAUCUCCCUGGACGGACGGUGUGGAUCAAAGACGAGGACGGCGUGUUCGUCGAGCGCGCGUUCGAGACGCGAGACGGGUUGAUGACGCUUCGCGAGCCCGCGGCGACCACCGCCGCGCGCGUUCGGUUCGAGGCGCGUCUCUUUCACACGCAACCCCGUUUCGUAAAAGGAUGGAUUCCCCCCCCUCUUGCAUCUCUUCGCCUUGUGCUACGCGUACCCUUUCAACGUGACCCUAUCGUUUGACCGUUGAGACGUUCAACUGACCGACGCGUUCGCCCGCCGCCCGCGAUGUACUUCGUCUUUCUCCCGCCAGGACACGGAUCUGCACAAAGUCGGUGGUCUGAGCACAGCGCGCGGCGGCGGGGGUUUGCACGUGGAGGUCAUCGGGUUUGCGGGCGGAGGCUCGGUCGGCGCGGUGAAGAAGGUGGGAGGGGUUCGUAUGGGCAAACAGGAUGACGGCGACGGCGACGACGGGAGAGAGGGGGACCGCGGAAGACUCUCGACGCGAAAACUCGGCGACGGCGCGACGACUGGUCGAAGAGGCGAGCUCCCGUCCGUGUGAGGUAAUGUCGCGACUUAGCGCGUGUGGAGGUGUCGGUGGCUCCAAUGUAACAAUGAAAUUUAUGCAGCUCGUCAUCGUAAAGGUCGCCGACACCGGAGCACGUGACAAUGCAAACGCCCGCGCGGCGCCGAGGCCGCCGUAGGUGUCCUAAACUGCGGAUUUAAUUUCCUGGUACGUGUUCGUAGAGAAAUCAAGUUUCCAUGCGCGUUUACAUCGACACGUGUCAACUCUCUCGCCAAAAUCAACCGCGUUAAGGGGUGUUCGCGUUGUAUGGUUUUUCAUAAGGUUAUCGCCGCACCAUCCAGCCGUCGCGCCCAACGCUUCGCUCUGGACGUCGCGCCACCGCCACAAUUAUCCUCCCCCAGCGCCUGCGGGUGGACGAACGCGCGGAGUCGCGGCUGUCAAACGCUGGACGACGAACGCGCGGCCGGCGGGAGAACGAAAAGACGCGCAAAGAAAAUAGUUUAUUUUGUUUCGGAAACAGACAGACGCGCGAGAGGACUCGGUCACGAAAUCGUCCACCGGACCGGCGCGCACCUUAAUUUCGGCCAAGACGUCCAACGCGCGCGAUCUCGCGUUCUCCCUCGCGCGCGCGGACGUCCCCGCGACCGGGGAGCUCACCGCGUCAGCACCGGAGAGCCGGAUCAACGCCGCCGCGAGGCGGUCGAGACGCGCGCAACGAGACGGCGCGUCGGACGCGGACGCGAACCGUCGCGACGAUUCGAGAAUACGAACCGUCGCGUACAACUCCUCCGCGCGGUCGAGCCAAUCCACGACAUCGAUCAGAUCGUUCGCGGACGCGGCGUCGGACAUCCCGCGCGCGUUCCGCGCGCGCGGCGGCGCGCGCUCGAGGUUGGUCGCGGCGACGGCGGCGGCGAAAAACUGGGCGAAGCGAUCGGGAACGCGUCGGUCAGUCGAACGUCUCACCGGUCAGACGUUGAAAGGGAAGCGCGGGUGAAGAAUGACGACGGACGGGGAAAGUCCUUAAGGAAUGGCGUUCAUCGCGCGAAUGGGGUCGUAUGGGAAGCAGUCUCACCGCGUCCGCGGCGUCGCGAUGCCGGCCGUCGACUGCUCAGAGAGAGACGGCGCGAUAGGGGAUAGAGGGGGCGGACGGGACAGACGUUUCAAUUCGGUGAGUGAAAACGCCCCGCGAGGCUGUGCGAUGCGAUGCGAGGGACGAGACGCGUCGCGAGAGUGGCGCGGCGGCGGAUGCGGCCGGAGGGACGAGAGAGAAACGCGCGCGACGCGAAAUAUCGAGACGCGGCGGCGGCGACGACGGCGGCGACGACGACGACGCACCUAACGCGGCUUCUCCUCGCGCGUCGUGCGCUCGCGCGUCGUCCGGGUCGCGCUCGGAAGCGACGCGCGCCAACGCCGCGCGCGCGUCCGGGUUUUGCCGCGCGCAUCGCUCGUUGUGAAGGAACGCGAUCGCUUCGUUCACGAGCGCGGCGGGCGGCGGCGCCGCCGCCGUCGUCGCGUCCGCCUCGUCGCCGCCGCCGCCGUCGUCGUCGUCCCAUCCCACCCACCCGCGGUCGUCAUCGCGCCGUCGUAACUCGUCGUACGCUCUCAACAGCCGGUUCGGGACGUCCACGCACGCGCCGUCGUCGGCGGGCGUCGACGACGCGUCCGACACGGAAGGACGGUUCCUCGCGAUUCGAAUCGCGUUGGCGCGUUUUUCCCUCCUCGCCUGCGGGGCGGCGGAUGGCGGGAUGCGAUUGGUCAGCGCGUGAUCAGAUUUGAUGACAUGGCAUAUCGGAUCGUGUGAAGAAAAGACUCGCUCACCCCGGAGGCGAGCGGGCACCGUCGCCGCGCGAACGCCGCGGCGUCGAUCUCGCCGCGGGAGACGAACAACGCCGCGGCGUCUUCGAGCCAUUCGCACGCGCGAAUCGUCAGAGCGUCUUCCUCUGCGAUGAGGAGCGCGUCGGCGUAGGACGUCCGCAACUCCGGAGACGCGAGCGCGGCCUGGGUUCCGGCCGCCGCCGCCGCCGCGAGCGUCGCCUUCUCUUCGUCGAACAUGACCUGAUACAACGCGUUGAUCGCUUCCAUCGCCACCUUAGGGGCGUUCCACGCGGAAGCGACGUAGGGGUGGAGUUGAACGGCGUCGGUUGGAGUCGCGAGGCGUCGCGGCGUGUCGAGAUCGAAACCGAGGGGUGGACGGAGAGAAACGCGCUCGGGAAAAGUCCUGCAGGAACGGCGUGCACCGCGUGACCGGGGUCGUACGGGGGACGGUGUAAUUAGGACGCGCCUUGCGCGUCCACGCGCACGCGAGCGCGCGCUUCAGCGCGUCGAUCCCCGCGCUCGCGUCGCCGAUGUUCACGAGACUGAGGAUCGUUCCACACAAAAAAAGGUUCAUCGGUCAGUUGAAAGGGGACGCGAUCAAAUGUUGAAACCGAGCGGUGGGUGUUAAACGUCUGUACAGAACGCACCUGAGCCCGCGGUAGUACAUCGGCUCGCAGUACCCAGGCUCGAUCGAGGACGCGGCGUCGAAGCGCUCCAACGCGAGCGCGUAGUCCUUCUCCCGUCGAGCUGAUCCUCACGCGGAGUUGAAAGGCGUCAGUGGUGGAGUUGAAAGGCGUCGAGGGCGGGUAUUGAAAGCGAGGCGUGGGCGGAGAGAGACGCCGGGAAAAGUCCUUAAGGAUCGGCGUUCACCACGCCGACGGGGUCGUAUGGGAACCAGUGCGCUUCUCUCACCAAGUAUCCCGAGGUUCACCAACGUUUUCGCGCUGUUCGGGCACGUCUCGCGCGCGGCGGCGAAAAGCGUCGCGUCGUUCUUCCACGCGAGGUUCCGACGCGUCGUCUUCGCGGCGGCGAGAACGAGCGCCGUCGCCGCGAGCGCCUUGGAGGCGACGGACGACGCGAACGACAGGCGUCGUCGCCUUUUUCGUUUUCGUUUGUUUUCGCUUUCGAGUCCUCCUCCGCCUCCGCUUUCUCCUCCUCCGAGACUGCUUCCCAUACGACCCCGUUCGCGUGGUGAACGCCGAUCCUUAAGGACUUUAUCUCCUCCGCCUCCGCUUUCUCCGAGACUGCUUCCCAUACGACCCCGUUCGCGUGGUGAACGCCGAUCCUUAAGGACUCCUCCUCCUCCUCCUCCGCUUUCUCCUCGACCGGAGAAGCUUCCGCGGGGAGAGUGAGACAGCGCCUCGAGAAAGUCCGCGGCGAGGACGCACGCGCCCACGGACGGGACGUACAGCAACCGCUGCGUAGGAAGUGAGAAAGUCCUUGAGAAACGACGCGCAACGCGCGAGGGGGGUCGCACGGAAAGCAGUCUAAAACGCACCUCGCCUAUGUAUGUGCCGACGUAGAAGAAGACGUUCGACGCGGGGAGGAAAGGAAUUACGACGAACGAUACCCAGAACGCUCGAACGCGUCGUCGUCUGAGCGUCGCCGCGACCGCGGCGGCGUUCUCUUCGAUCGAAAUCGGAACCUUCACCUUCGAACGGCCGCGUCUCCGGAACGGUUCUAACGGCCGCGCCUGAACGACGGGAAAAGUCCUUAUUAGAGUAGACUUAAAAACGACGCGCAACGCGCGAACGGGAUCGUAUGGAAAACAAUCUAAAACGCGCCUGAACCGCCGCGACGACGACGACAGCGUACACGCACGCGGAGAAGACAUUUCGAGGGUCCGACACCGCGCGCACCGGCUCGACGCAACGGAACGACCAGUCCGCGCUGUGAGCGACGUCGGGGCGGAGUUCAAAGGCGAGGCGCGUCAGUUGAAAUGAGUUGAAAGGCGGGCGUCGCGGUCGACUGUCGAAAUCGAGGGAUGACCGGGCGGAGAGAGACGACGACGGGAAAAGUCCGUCCUCAGAGUCCUUAAGGAACGGCGUUCACGGCGCGAACGCGGUCGCACGACGGGCGGCGUGAACGCGGACGCGCCUGAGCCGUCGCGGCCACGCGAGCAACCACGCGUAUCUCGCGUGGAGGUGAAACAGCGACAGCCGGCGCUCGGUCGCGUCGGACGCGAACGCGAUCGGGUUCUCGACUUUUCGGUAAAUCUUCACGAGCGACGACGCGCCGCACAGAGCGUCUCGCGCGCGCAGAUACGCGAACGCCGCCGCGACGGACGGGAAGAGUCUCCACCACGCCGCGGAAGCGACGCGCGUCUUCAUCUUCUUCUUCUUCUUCUUCUUCUUCUUCUUCUUCUUCUUCUUCUUCUUCGCGUCGUCGUCGUCGUCGUCGUCGUCGUCGUCGUCGUCGUCGUCGUCGUCGUCGUCGUCGUCGUCGUCGUCGUCGUCGUCGUCGUCGUCCGAGCGGGUCGGCGAGACGAUGAGGAACUCGUACGCGGCAUACACCCCGAGCGCGGUUAUCCUGAGUGGACGCGAGAUCGCGAGUCGACGUUCGGGCUCGGUCAGUUGAAAGGCGUUUUAGGGUCGAGCGUUGAAAGGCGUUUUAGGGUCGAGCGUCGAAGCCGAGCGCGGGGUGAAGAGCGACGACGGACAACAAGGCCAGCCGAGAGACGAGACGAAAAACGAACGACGCGCGACCGACGCGCGCACGCGAUCGCGUGGCGCGGCGAGCGAGCGGUCGCACCCGGACUCUUUGCACAGGCACGCGAGGAGCUGAGGUUCGUUCCGUACAAAAUAUGUUCAUCGGUCAGUUGUUGAUAGGGGACGCGAUCAAAAGUUGAAACCGAGUUGUUCAAAAGUUGAAACCGAGUUGCGUGUGAAAAACGCGUAUCGUGCGGUACGCGCCUGAAAAACCGCGGCGAGCGCGGCGCAGACGCGGCCCCGGCUCCUCGCCCGCGCGGCGUCCCCGUCCCCGUCCCCGGCAUCGACCCCAUCCCCGUCUACGACGCGCGAGGUGCGCAGAUUGCGUCCCUUACGACCUCGUUCGCGCGGUGAACGCCGUUCCUUGAGGACAUCUUUCGUCUCCGCCUCCGCGGCGCGCGCGGAGGAUACCUGAGGGUCGUUCCGUACAAAAUAUGUUCCUCGGUCAGUUGAUAGGGGACGCGAUCAAAUGUUGAAACCGAGGGGCGGAUGAAAAGCGUUUGCACACAACGCACCUCCGCCUCCGCCGCGCGCGCGUAGGAGAACACCCCGAGGAGAAAGAAAAUCGCGCAGAGCAGGUCCGCGCGGCCGACGGCUCCGGCGACGGCUGCGGGCGGGUUCGCGCGUCGGUCAGUCGAACGUCUUACCGGGCAAACGAUCGAUCGAUCGACCGAUUGUUGAAAGGGAAGUCGCGUGCGAAGAGAAACGAGAGAAGGGAAAAGAAACGUCCUCGAGAAGGGCCGGCGUGAGAUGAAGUCCUUAAGGAACGGCGUUCACCGCGCGAACGCGGUCGUGUGGGGACCAGUGCGAGGAGAGCGCACCUUCGACGUGCGCCGGAUGCGACGCGAAAAACGCGCCCGCGAGGAACGCGCGCCGACGUCCGCACGAGUCCGAGUCGGAGUCCGAGUCCGAGUCCGAGUUGGCACCCCCCGAGUCGGCGCCCCCCGAGUCGGCGCCCCCGUCGGCGCCCCCUUCCCCGCCGACCCCGAACGCGAACGCGCGUCCGCCGGCGACGUGCCGCGCGACGACGUACCUGAAGACGGACGGCGGGUCGCGAGGGCGGGCGUCGACGUUCGACGGUCAGUCUCUCGCGCGUCUCGUCGAGGACCGCCGCAGCGAGGACUAAGGGCCGUUCUAUACAAGCGAACGUCGGGGUGGAGUUGAGAGGCGUCAGGUGGAGUUGAAAGGCGCCGAGGGCGGGUAUUGAAAGCGAGGGACCCUGGGCGAAGAGAGACGCCUGCGAAAGUCCUUAAGGAUCGGCGUUCACCACGCGAACGCGGUCGUAUGGGAACCAGUGUAUAGAACGCACCUAAGAACGUCCGUCCUCGUGUUGACCGGAACCGACGAACGCGGUACGUUCACCACGCGAACGGGGCUGGAAGGGGUCGGGGAGUCGCACGGGACGCGAUCGGAUGAGAUGGAAAACCGAACGACGCGACGCGGCGGGGCGGGCGGGCGCGCACGCGAGGCACGUCGCGAUCGCGUGACACGAGACGUUUCCGAGGUGGAAUCCGAACGGCACCGGGCGCGCGUCGCCCUCGGCGCCGACGAGCGCGCGACGCGGCGUCGGCUCCGCGCCGCCGACCGCGGCGUUGACGCGAAACGAGAGCACGGUCAGCGGGCGCCAGGAUUUGUGCGAGCCCGCGUCGCGCAGAUCUUGGCCCCAAAAAUCGCGCGUCCAGAACGCGGGGCCGACGAGGACGUCCGCGAGCGUCGUCGUCGUCGUCGUCUUCUCCGCGGCAUCGCAGGACGACGCGUCUGUGCCGCGCGAUUCUUCGGCGUCGCAUGCCGACGCGGCGUGUGUUUCUUCUCCCUCGGCGGCGUCGCGCGCGGCGGAUUCGCGCGUCGCGCGGUCGCGCGCGGUCGCCGCGAGGACGCUCGCGUCGUGCGCGCGAACGGUGACGUCGCCGCCGCGGUAGUUCGCCGCGUCGACGACGUCCGCGUUGGACAGGAUCGCGUACUGAUCGUCGUACGUGAAGUCCGCGUGGAGGGUGUUGAGGUAAAGCAGAGAGGAGAGGACGCACAGGACGCACGCGUCGAGCGCGGCGCCGCGCGACGCGCGCAUCGGAUGAAGUCGUUUGAGAAGCUCGCCGGUGCCGUCUUUUUCACGCCGUACAAGACUGACUUCUGCUGCAGGUCAACUGUACACGUACACGUACACGUAGCCCUACACUACACGUACAGUUAGAGCUCAGUUUUUGUGUAAUAAUAAUAUCUACACAGUACACGUUACAGUACACGUUACAAUCGACGACAGUACACGUACACGUGUACAGUAGUGUACGUGUACACCACGUUACACGUACGAAACGACGCAUCAUGGGCCACAUCUCCGUAGCGCUCGUAUCCGCCAUCGGAGACCGCAUCGCUGGCGCGCCCAUCUCGUACGCGCUCAGAACCUCACGUGACUCUGAAAACUUCCACGCGGGCGCGGCAGCGCAAAUCCUUUUUAUGGAGCCCGACACUGCUGGCGAUUUCCACAUCGCCCCGGCUCCGUGCGCUCGUGAGGCUCACAUGGGUUUCAUGAAUCCCGUCGUGGGGUUGCUUACUACGUGAGAGGAUUGUUCGUAGUGCGGUCUGCUCGCUUCUAGAUCACAUGUUUUACCCGGAUGGGUUAGAGCUCAGUCUUUUUGUAAUCAGAUCCACACACGAAAGUACACGUGUACUCGUACACGUUCGUAGAUCCACGUUACGUGUACACGUGGUCAGAUCUACACACGUAGUCACGUACACGUACACGUACGUGUACACUUACACACAAUUUGUACACCAAACUUAUGUCUUGUACGACAGUCUGGUAUUUUAUUCCCCCGCGCCCCGCUCCCGCGCCGGCGGACAUGGGGUUGAAGGCGUCCAAGGCGAAGAAGAAGGCUGGCGUCCACGGCGCGACCGCCAGCUCCACGCCCGCGUCCUCGAAUUUGUUGCGCGAACUCGAGAUCGCGAACGCGAGGCAAGUCGCGACAGCGGUUGACGCGGACGCGAAAGCCGAGCUGGACGCCGAGGAGAUUGAGAUCGUCUCCGCGGCCUCCCCGGGCGUCGGCAUCGUACUUCCCACGGAGCGUUUGUUGGUCGACGACGGCGCGUUCACGGGCGAGGUUGAGAAGCUCAUGACGUUCCGCCCGACGCUGAAGAAGACGCACGGCGACGCGUACAUAAAAGAGCUCAUACACCAGAUCAAGGCUUCGAAGGAGAUGAUGGGCACGAUGCUCAGGAGAUUCAACGUCGAGAUCCGGGCGGCGGGCGAGCGGGCAACCGCCGCGGAGGCACUCGCCAAAGCGAAAGACGCGGAAAUCGCGCAGUUGGUCGAGGCCCUGGAGCAAGAAUCCGCGGCGGCAACAGCGGAGUCGAACGAGUCGAUGUCUGAGCUCGAUAAAGCGCGCGAGUCCCGCGAGGCACUGGAGGCACUCGCCAAAGCGAAAGACGCGGAAAUCGCGCAGUUGGUCGAGGCCCUGGAGCAAGAAUCCGCGGCGGCAACAGCGGAGUCGAACGAGUCGAUGUCUGAGCUCGAUAAAGCGCGCGAGUCCCGCGAGGCACUGGAGGCACUCGCCAAAGCGAAAGACGCGGAAAUCGCGCAGUUGGUCGAGGCCCUGGAGCAAGAAUCCGCGGCGGCAACAGCGGAGUCGAACGAGUCGAUGUCUGAGCUCGAUAAAGCGCGCGAGUCCCGCGAGGCACUGGAGGCACUCGCCAAAGCGAAAGACGCCGAGAUCGCGCAGUUGGUCGAGGCCCUGGAGCAAGAAUCCGCGGCGGCAACAGCGGAGUCGAACGAGUCGAUGUCUGAGCUCGAUAAAGCGCGCGAGUCCCGCGAGGCACUGGAGGCACUCGCCAAAGCGAAAGACGCCGAGAUCGCGCAGUUGGUCGAGGCCCUGGAGCAAGAAUCCGCGGCGGCAACAGCGGAGUCGAACGAGUCGAUGUCUGAGCUCGAUAAAGCGCGCGAGUCCCGCGAGGCACUGGAGGCACUCGCCAAAGCGAAAGACGCCGAGAUCGCGCAGUUGGUCGAGGCUCUGGAGCAAGAAUCCGCGGCGGCAACAGCGGAGUCGAACGAGUCGAUGUCUGAGCUCGAUAGAGCGCGCGAGUCCCGCGAGGCACUGGAGGCGGAAGUCGUGACGUUGACAGAAAAGCUCGAUAAAGAGAAAUACUUCGGCAGGGCCGCGAAUGAGGGCGCCGCGCCCGCGGGGACGAACCCGUUCGCGUCGAGUGGAGGCAGCGGCGGGAGCGCUCCGGCUCGCAUCUUCAAAAAAAAAAAAGUCAAAGAGGGAUCCAUGAUAGUAGGUGCUGGUUUCGCUUCUUCGUCGGACGGCCGGGACAGGAAUCCGCCGAAGAAAGCGAAACGACCGCCCAGGCGAGGAGGUUUAAACGGCGGCCACAGCGCGGCUUCCGGUGCCCCGAACGCGCCCGCGGUUUUUGGUGCCCCGACUGGCACGGGAACAACAGCAGCCGCUUUUGGGGGCGCGUCUCCAUUCGGCGCGCCCACUCCUGGCGCGUUCGGCGCGGCUCCAUAUCCUUUCGGCGGCGGCGCGCCGAACCCCGCGCCCGCGCUGGGAGGUUUCGGCGGCAGCGGCGCACCCGCGCCGUCGCCGUUCGGGGGGGCAGUCGCGCCGGGCGCGAGCCCGUUUGGUGCCCCGAACGCGUCCGCGCAGUCGUCAACUCAAACGAGCACGCCUUGGGGCGCGUCUUCGUCGACGCCCACGCCAGGAAUCAGCAGCUCGGUGCAAAACGCGUGCGCACACUGGAACCGGAGUAAUUGCAGGUACAGCGGGCGAUGCCGCUCAAGACACGUGUGCUCGACGUGCGGGGACAGCUCGCACAAAGCGGCCCAGUGCCCCCGAGGACCGGGGUCGCUCGCGGGCGGAGGUGGCGGGUUCUCCCCAACGCGGGUCACAGAUCCGUCGCUUGUGCCCGCGAGUUCACGACACGCAAUCAUGCAGCACAUAUGCGCGAUGUCAUCGAACGUCGGGAGUUCCGUGGAAGAGCUCCGUCUCCAGAGCAAGUAAAACCCUCCUGGCGCGGUGGCGGGCACGGGCGCGUUUGGGUUGAGCCCGAACGCGAGUGGCAGUGACGAGGGCGAUUAAAACGCGGGGGCGAGGCGAGGCGCACCCAACCGAGAAAUUUCGUGUGAUCUUUCGGUACGUGUACCUGUAGACUUAGUUUAAAACCUGUACGAGUAAGUCGUUCAUCCUUGGACGCGUAUCAUACAUCUUGAACGCACGCGCGCUCCUCCUCGAUCUUUCUCAUGAUCGAAUCGAUCUUCUCGAGCUCGGCCGUCUCCGCGUCGCCUUUCUUCCUCCUCUCCGCGUCCUCCAUCGCAUCAGGUUGACAACUCCGCAGCAUGAAGCUGCAGCCUCUCCCCACGACGUCGCGUUCGUUCACCGCGUGCGUGACCAUGUUCGCGGCGUACCCCUCCAUGACCGCGAUCGAUCCGCGCGUCAACGGCACUGAGUGUAUCCUUUGGCCUUCGUACUGACCCUUCGCGCCGAAGGAGAGGACGCCGUCGCCGAAAAAUCGCGCGGACACGAUCGGGCGCUUGAACAACGCGCUCGGGUCCAUGUGCACGCUCAGGCGCGCUUUCGAUCUCGCGUACAGAUUCACGACGGCGUUGUCGAUCACGACGUUUUUGUCGAUCGCGCCGAUGAUCUUCGCUCUGUUGCCGAGGGUGGAGUGCACCCACGACGGUAUCGGCGGCGCGUCCGCGAUGAGCUUCGGCGCGGUCACGGAGUCGUACGUGUACCGGUACCCGAAGAAAACCUUGAUUCGACCACCGUUGAGCCCCACGUGCACGUGAGGGGCGUCGCCGGACGCGCGCUCGCGAUCGAUCAACUCCGUGAUCGCCUUCUCCGUCAUCUCGAGCUCGUCAUCAUCGAACGCGUGUAAAUAUUGCGUCACGCCAAAGUACUGCCCGUUACUUCGAAAGCGCCACACGCGCUUCGUCGAUUUCCGCUCGCCGGCGUCGCCGUCGUCCGCGCGCCACGCGAUCUCCUCGUCCUCGGGGUAUAUCCCCGACGACGCGGACUCGCGCUCGGACCCGACCGCGGCGGUGACGCGCGCGGCGCGCGACGCGUCAUCGCGGAGAUACCCCGCGAGCACCGCGUCGGGGAGCUUCUCGACGACGUCCCAGGCCACCCAUUUUUCCGACGUUUUCCGGCCGGCGUCGGACUCGAACCGCACGCGCGCGACGAGGCGUGAGGGUAAUUGUCCAUACGGGCGUCUCGCGUCGUCGUCGUUCCACUCCUCCAGGAGCGUCGUCGCGAGCGCGAGUUGCUCCCACCCGAGGCAUCCCGCGUUGUCCGGGCACAGGUUAGACAGCGCGAGCGCGUCCGCGGGGGUGUCGCCCUUCGCGUAGACGCGGCAGCGCUCGCACGUCCACGGACAUCCAUCGCCCCCCGCCGCGAACGCGUGCGCGUCUCCGGGGAUGGUGGACGGCGCGAUGCACUGCACGUGCCAGAAUAAACCGCAGUCGCCGCAGCGCAACACGACGGGCGCGCCGUGAUGGGGUUCCCCCGGCGACUUCUUCGAGUGGUGCCACUCCACCUCGCGGCACCGCGCGCACGACGGAUACUUGCUGUAGGGUGUGCUGGGCUCGAGGUGAAAUCUGGAACGUUUUUUUCGCUUCGUCCUCGCCGUCUCGCGCGCCUCUUCCUCGUCGCUCGAAGACAAGUAUGAUACGAAGUCGUCGCCGUCCUCUAUUUCAAUGUCGUCGUCGCGAACCACCUGCAGCGCGAACGUGUCCAGCCGCAGCGUCGUGCCCUCUGGCGUCGUCUCUUCACCGUUGACGAGCACUUGAAAGUCAAAGUGCUUCGCCUCAACGACAACGAGCGCCCCCGUGCGUCUGUACGCGCCCGCGACGUUCUCGCGCUCGGCGCCGUCGACGUCGCUCGCGAUCGGCGCGAGCCGUUCCACCGUGAACGACGUCGUCUCCACGCGCUCUUUCAUCUCCGCGAUGCCGUACUCAUUUUCCAGAACGACUGAACGACGCACCUCGGUCACGAGAACAAUGUCCUCGGACGCUAACAUCUUCUUCACGCCGUCGAUCACGACGUACUGACGCUCGUCCGACGCUCGCAUCGUCCUGCCGCUGUCAGUAGUCUCUGGAAGCGACGUCAUAGCCCACGCUUGUUGCGGCCUCGGCUCGAUGAACGCCGCCGGGUGGUUCCAAGGGAUUAAAAAGCCGUUUCCGCUCGCGUCGUUCGCGCAUCUAAACUUCGCGGCGGCUCGAGCGACGUGUUCGCACGCCGAAGCGGGAUGACUGAAUAUUGCGUCGCCACAGUUCGCGAGGCUCCAUCCUUUCCACUUGCCACCAAUUCCCAGUUUCCACCUCAUGUCGACGCCCUCCUCGUGCCAGUGGCAUCCCACGUUUGCUCUCGCGUCGCGGUCCAACAGCACGACGCGCCAUCGCGCCGGGCGGUCGUUGCACAGGUAGCUCUCGUCCGCGGCGAGGAGCUGCACGUACCACCGAGGCAAUCCGGUGCCGUGCUCGUACAGUGCCCAGACGUCCCCGGGCUUUCUCGACGCGAGCCUGCGCUCGUGAGCGUCCUCAUCCCUGUCCUCGGGCGGAUUCGAGAUGCGCCGGACGCCAUCAGCGCCCGGGGCGACGUCGUCGAACGCGUUCAUCGCGAGCUCGUUCGACUCGGUCGGAAAGUCUUUUUCCGCGUCCGCGCGCGCGCGCUCGGUCGCCGCGGGCUCGACGUCCGCGACGAUCGCGCGCUCGUCCUCGUCCUCGUAGCGCCAUCGCAGGACGACGGAGGGUCGUUGUCCGGCGCGAUCGACGUCGGCGAGAUCCGUCGCGUCGUCGUCGUCCUCGAGCGCGAGCGCGCGCGGUCGCUUCAGAGACGCCUCGCGCUGAGGCGGCGUCGCCAUGAUGACGUCGGCGCGCGUCGUCUCCGUCAUUGUUCCGGGCGCGGGGCGCGUCGGCGCGUGUCGUCGAGGGUUGGAUGUCUCGGAGGGCGAAGUGUCGGAUCGAAUGUUGGCACACUGCAGUGAUGACAAAUGCUACCGAAGGCGAGCGCGGGGAAGUGCGCGCGCGGCGUCUCGGAGCGAACGAAACGAACAACCACGCCCAGAUACAGUUCCCAGAUUUAACAACCUCCACAAAUCUUUUCAGGUCUUUUCGUACAGUACGUGUACAGUACUGUACGUGUACGUGUACACGUACUUCUGGAAGUAAUAAAUACAGUUUCAUAAAAAAUUUCAAUGUCUCGCGCUGUAAUCUCGGAUUCGUAGCUUUUAUGUACAAAAUCUCGUGUAUGCAAAUCAGUCUCACUCAAAAAAAAUAUGUACACGGUUCAUCGGCUUGAACCCGAGCUUGACCGGGCAGGCCCGAGCUUGACCGGUCAGGCUCCACCUCGUAUGUACCUUCGUACAUAAUAUGAUAAAACUGGGGCGGGCUACUACACGUGUACUCGCAGGUCUUCUUCUUCUUCUUCUUCUUCUUCCUCUUCUCGUAUGUCGUACAGUCAGUUCCAUCCGGAGCGCGACGCGAAAUAUUUUGUUCGCACCGGCUCAUCCCUUCUCUCUCGCGUCGUCGUCGAAGGCUCAUCGCUCGAAGUACAACCCGACGCCUCAAUCCCAGUCGUAGUACUUCGCGUCGCGCUGAAUCGCGGCGUCGAUCUCCUUGUUCGCGAUCGGCUGCGCGAUCUCGAUCGUAUCGCUGUGCAUCCCGAACGCCGAGCUCUCCCACUCCGGGUCUGGCACGGGGAUGCCGUUCUCCUUCACCUUGAGCUUGCGCGGGCGGAAGAAAAUCUGCGCCCCGAGCGCGUCCGGGCUGCCGUUCUUCGCCUUAAACAGCGCGUAGCACUGGAACUCGUCCCACUCUUUCGAGCCCGCGACUUUUUGUUCGAUGCCGCGCCCGACGAGGACGAUGUGCGCGAGCUUGCCGACGCCCAUCUGAGACGCUUUCCGCCCGCACGGCCCUUUCCCCGCGAGCGACCGCGCGAGCUCGACGCACUCCUCGAGCUCGUCCGACGGCCACUGCGUCGAGAACUCAGCGGCUUUCCGGCUCGGCGCGGCGCCGCUCGCGGCGUCGCUCCCGACGCCCAUCGUGAACGUCACGGUGAGACCGCUCGCGUUCGCAUCCGUGAGCACCUGCGGCGGGAACUGGGAGAGGUGCGGCUCGAACCCCUUGUCUCGCGCCGCGACGUCCUCCGGCGACUUGUUAAUUAAGCCGACCGUCUGGAAAACCUGUUCGCCCUCGUCCAACUGCGAGACGUCGACGAUCCCUCUCGGGCGCACGCUCAGCGUGAAGCUGUGCGUCCCCUCACCCGCGGUUUUGAGCGCCUGCGAGAACUUCGCGACGAGCGAGUGCCCGUACGCCUCGGACUCCGCCGUGUUCAUCUUAUCGAGGUCGCCUUGGUACAUGAGCGGGAGGUGCACGAAGGCGCAGUCCGCGAACUUG